rnacentral:rRNA from 1 species
UACAGAGGUCUCAAGCGUUGUUCGGAUUCAUUGGGCGUAAAGGGUGCGUAGGUGGCGCCGUAAGUCAGGUGUGAAAUUUCGGAGCUUAACUCCGAAACUGCAUUUGAUACUGCGGUGCUUGAGGACUGGAGAGGAGACUGGAAUUCACGGUGUAGCAGUGAAAUGCGUAGAGAUGUGGAGGAACACCAGUGGCGAAGGCGGCUUUCUGGUCUGUAACUGACGCUGAGGCGCGAAAAGGCGUGGGGGAGCAAACAGG